rnacentral:rRNA from 1 species
UACGAAGGGGGCUAGCGUUGUCCGGAGUUACUGGGCGUAAAGCGUGUGCAGGCGGCUCUUUGCGUCGGUGGUGAAAUCUCCUGGCUUAACUGGGAGGGGGCCAUCGAUACGGGGGAGCUUGAGGGCUAGAGAGGGAAGUAGAACUCCCGGUGGACCAGUGAAAUGGGUAGAUAUCGGGAAGAAUACCUGAGGUGAAGACGGCUUCCUGGCUAGCACCUGACGCUCAUACACGAAAGCUUGGGGAGCAAACAGG